rnacentral:sRNA from 1 species
GUUGGAUGUGAUGUCACACACCUGUAAUCCCAGCUACUCGGGAGACUGAGGCAGGAGAAUUGUAAGUUCAAGGCCAUCCUGGGCAAUAGUGAUACCCUGUCUCAA